GGAGGAGUGAUUCCGAAUGGCAAGGAUCCACCCUGCUAAGGUGUUGCCUCGUUAGAGGCUUGUGGGUUCGAGUCCCACCUCCUCCA
rnacentral:tRNA from 1 species